rnacentral:lncRNA from 1 species
CUUGGAGAAAAAUUAAGAGCCUAUUCAAGUCUUCAAGUGAAGCUUUGAAUAUUGUAGGUUAGGCAGGGACACAUCAAUACUUUUAUUAACUAGGGCCACUGAGGUUGAGAAUGAUGAGUGCUAGUUGAGCUGGAUGUCAGACCAGAAUACCGUCUGCCUUUUGAGAUGAAAUGACCACCUCCAGCUCCUAAAAAGAAACUGUUCCCAAGCUUUAUUAAUGUUCUGACUCCAUCAUUUGGAUCCUGACUGGGUAUGUGCCGCCUUGUGAGAUUUUGAUUAAAAUUGUGCCUUCUGGAAUUUUCUCCUUAAAGAAAAGAGGUGAAUCACUUCAAAGAGAAGGACCAGAUUCUCAUGGACCCCACUGCCAUGCUGGCCAGACAUCUUGCUGCCAUUGUUUUCCUGUUAUUUACUCCCAAACAGAUGGAGUGUCGCUCUGUCACCCAGGCUGGAGUGCAGUGGCACGAUCUCGGCUUACUGCAAGAUCUACCUCCCGGGUUCACGCCAUUCUCCUGCCUCAGCCUCCCGAGUAGCUGGGACUACAGGCGUCCGCCACCACGCCCGGCUAAUUUUUUGUUUUUUUUAGUAUAGACGGGGUUUCACCGUGUUAGCCAGGAUGGUCUCAAUCUCCUGACCUCGUGACCCGCCCGCCUUGGCCUCCCAAAGUGAAGUCUCUUUUCAAAAUCUUAAUGCUUACCUGUGUUUCUUUUAUGAGGAACGUCACGGAAUCAAGAGUUUUUGUCUUCAUUCUUAUUAACUUGUAAAAAUUCUAAGUUAAAGACAUAACCCUUUGUUGUAUUUGUUGUAAAUAUUUUGAAAAUUUGAUGUUUCUCUUUACAUUUUGUUUUCGUGACUUUUUCAAGUCUAAUAUUUAGGUAUAAUGGACGUAUGCCCAUUAAACCUGUGACUUCCUUUUAUUAGUCUUCUAGCCAUAGUAUUCUGCUUAGAAAGAUUUAGCCCAAAUUUUUAAAAAUAUUCUCCUUCUUAUUCAUCUUGUUAUUUUUUAUUGUUAUGUUCUAAUUCAUAUUUAAUAAUUUUGGUAUGCAUGAUAUGCAUCUCUGUCAUACCAAAUGGAGGAUUAAUUGUCCCUGAAUUUACGUGGACUUAGCCCUCAGUCUAUAUAAUUUCCUUCCUAAUCUUCAGCAUAAAUCCAUACCUCAUACUGUUUCUGUAAAAUACUUGUCUUCUCUGUUUCAUCCAUUAUUAUGAUUCACAUCUUAUUUGGCCAAAUUUAAUUCUUAAGCAACUCUUUUCAGAAUAACAUGAUUGGUAUUAUACCUUCUGAGCCUUUAAUGACCAAUAUAGGUUUUUUUUUCCCUCAGAGAUGAAGAAUAGGUUAAAUAUGCCAGAAUUUCCUAAAUACUCCACUGACUCUCCAAUGAGAUUUUAACAUAUUUUAAAGUAGAAGGGGCACUGUUGUCCAAUAAAUUUGGGAAAGUGUGUUAACAGAAUUAAAACUCUUUUUGAUGUGUGCGUUUACGUUUGAAUUUAUUGCAGGGUUUCUCAGAGCUCUUAAUAAAACGUGGUGUUUUAUGUUUUUCUAGGAAAUAAAUGUAAUAUAUAUUACAUUUAUAAGUACGCAUAAAGUAGGCAUAAGAUAGGGACUCCCCUCCACUUCAGACUGGGCAAAUAGGAAGACCCCAAGUGUAUAUACGGAAG